GAGGAAGUAAUUUAAAUAGAAUAGUAACUUUGGGAGUUAUUUGUGCCAGUUUUGGUCUUCUUAA
rnacentral:tRNA from 1 species